rnacentral:rRNA from 1 species
CCUACGGGAGGCUGCAGUGGGGGAUAUUGGACAAUGGGGGAAACCCUGAUCCAGCGACGCCGCGUGAGUGAAGAAGUAUUUCGGUAUGUAAAGCUCUGUCAGCAGGGAAGAAAGAAAUGACGGUACCUGUCCAAGAAGCCCCGGCUAACUACGUGCCAGCAGCCGCGGUAAUACGUAGGGGGCAAGCGUUAUCCGGAAUUACUGGGUGUAAAGGGAGCGUAGACGGUGAUGCAAGUCUGGAGUGAAAGGCGGGGGCCCAACCCCCGGACUGCUCUGGAAACUGUGUAACUUGAGUGCAGGAGAGGUAAGCGGAAUUCGUAGUGUAGCGGUGAAAUGCGUAGAUAUUAGGAGGAACACCAGUGGCGAAGGCGGCUUACUGGACUGUAACUGACGUUGAGGCUCGAAAGCGUGGGGAGCAAACAGGAUUAGAUACCCGGGUAGUC